rnacentral:rRNA from 1 species
AUACGGAGGGUGCAAGCGUUAAUCGGAAUUACUGGGCGUAAAGCGUACGUAGGCGGUUCGUUAAGUUAGAUGUGAGAGCCCCGGGCUUAACCUGGGAACUGCAUUUAAAACUGGCGAACUAGAGUUGAGUAGAGGGGAGUGGAAUUUCAGGUGUAGCGGUGAAAUGCGUAGAGAUCUGAAGGAACACCAGUGGCGAAGGCGACUCCCUGGACUCGAACUGACGCUGAGGUACGAAAGCGUGGGUAGCAAACGGGAUUAGAAACCCUAGUAGUCC